ACGUACAAGCAGUGGGAGCCCCACCACUAAGCCAGUGGUGAACUCCACAUACGCAUCCUUUGCUGAGGAUACGGUUAACGGAGCGAAAGCGACGUUCAACCUCAAAAGAAGCAGAGGGGGCUUAGUGGUGGGGUGACUGCGUACCUUUUGUAUAAUGGGUCAGCGACUUAUAUUCUGUAGCAAGGUUAACCGAAUAGGGGAGCCGGAGGGAAACCGAGUCUUAAUUGGGCGUUAAGUUGCAGGGUAUAGACCCGAAACCCGGUGAUCUAGCCAUGGGCAGGUUGAAGGUUGGGUAACACUAACUGGAGGACCGAACCGACUAAUGUUGAAAAAUUAGCGGAUGACCUGUGGCUGGGGGUGAAAGGCCAAUCAAACCGGGAGAUAGCUGGUUCUCCCCGAAAGCUAUUUAGGUAGCGCCUCGUGAAUUCAUCUCCGGGGGUAGAGCACUGUUUCGGCUAGGGGGCCAUCCCGGCUUACCAACCCGAUGCAAACUGCGAAUACCGGAGAAUGUUAUCACGGGAGACACACGGCGGGUGCUAACGUCCGUCGUGAAGAGGGAAACAACCCAGACCGCCAGCUAAGGUCCCAAAGUCAUGGUUAAGUGGGAAACGAUGUGGGAAGGCCCAGACAGCCAGGAUGUUGGCUUAGAAGCAGCCAUCAUUUAAAGAAAGCGUAAUAGCUCACUGGUCGAGUCGGCCUGCGCGGAAGAUGUAACGGGGCUAAACCAUGCACCGAAGCUGCGGCAGCGACGCUGAUGCGUUGUUGGGUAGGGGAGCGUUCUGUAAGCCUGUGAAGGUGGCCUGUGAGGGUUGCUGGAGGUAUCAGAAGUGCGAAUGCUGACAUAAGUAACGAUAAAGCGGGUGAAAAGCCCGCUCGCCGGAAGACCAAGGGUUCCUGUCCAACGUUAAUCGGGGCAGGGUGAGUCGACCCCUAAGGCGAGGCCGAAAGGCGUAGUCGAUGGGAAACGGGUUAAUAUUCCCGUACUUGGUGUUACUGCGAAGGGGGGACGGAGAAGGCUAUGUUGGCCGGGCGACGGUUGUCCCGGUUUAAGCGUGUAGGUGUGUGUUCCAGGUAAAUCCGGUUCACUUUAACACUGAGGCGUGAUGACGAGGCACUACGGUGCUGAAGCAACAAAUGCCCUGCUUCCAGGAAAAGCCUCUAAGCAUCAGGUAACAUCAAAUCGUACCCCAAACCGACACAGGUGGUCAGGUAGAGAAUACCAAGGCGCUUGAGAGAACUCGGGUGAAGGAACUAGGCAAAAUGGUGCCGUAACUUCGGGAGAAGGCACGCUGACACGUAGGUGAAGUGAUUUACUCAUGGAGCUGAAGUCAGUCGAAGAUACCAGCUGGCUGCAACUGUUUAUUAAAAACACAGCACUGUGCAAACACGAAAGUGGACGUAUACGGUGUGACGCCUGCCCGGUGCCGGAAGGUUAAUUGAUGGGGUCAGCGCAAGCGAAGCUCCUGAUCGAAGCCCCGGUAAACGGCGGCCGUAACUAUAACGGUCCUAAGGUAGCGAAAUUCCUUGUCGGGUAAGUUCCGACCUGCACGAAUGGCGUAAUGAUGGCCAGGCUGUCUCCACCCGAGACUCAGUGAAAUUGAACUCGCUGUGAAGAUGCAGUGUACCCGCGGCAAGACGGAAAGACCCCGUGAACCUUUACUAUAGCUUGACACUGAACAUUGAGCCUUGAUGUGUAGGAUAGGUGGGAGGCUUUGAAGUGUGGACGCCAGUCUGCAUGGAGCCGGCCUUGAAAUACCACCCUUUAAUGUUUGAUGUUCUAACGUGGACCCGUGAUCCGGGUUGCGGACAGUGUCUGGUGGGUAGUUUGACUGGGGCGGUCUCCUCCUAAAGAGUAACGGAGGAGCACGAAGGUUGGCUAAUCCUGGUCGGACAUCAGGAGGUUAGUGCAAUGGCAUAAGCCAGCUUGACUGCGAGCGUGACGGCGCGAGCAGGUGCGAAAGCAGGUCAUAGUGAUCCGGUGGUUCUGAAUGGAAGGGCCAUCGCUCAACGGAUAAAAGGUACUCCGGGGAUAACAGGCUGAUACCGCCCAAGAGUUCAUAUCGACGGCGGUGUUUGGCACCUCGAUGUCGGCUCAUCACAUCCUGGGGCUGAAGUAGGUCCCAAGGGUAUGGCUGUUCGCCAUUUAAAGUGGUACGCGAGCUGGGUUUAGAACGUCGUGAGACAGUUCGGUCCCUAUCUGCCGUGGGCGCUGGAGAACUGAGGGGGGCUGCUCCUAGUACGAGAGGACCGGAGUGGACGCAUCACUGGUGUUCGGGUUGUCAUGCCAAUGGCACUGCCCGGUAGCUAAAUGCGGAAGAGAUAAGUGCUGAAAGCAUCUAAGCACGAAACUUGCCCCGAGAUGAGUUCUCCCUGAGACUUAGAGUCUCCUGAAGGAACGUUGAAGACGACGACGUUGAUAGGCCGGGUGUGUAAGCGCAGCGAUGCGUUGAGCUAACCGG
rnacentral:rRNA from 1 species